GGCGAACGGGUGCGUAAUGCAUGGGAAUCUGCCUAGUAGUGGGGAAUAACCCGGCGAAAGCCGGGCUAAUGCCGCAUACGACCUACGGGUGAAAGCGGGGGAUCGCAAGACCUCGCGCUAUUAGAUGAGCCCAUGUCGGAUUAGCUAGUUGGUAGGGUAACGGCCUACCAAGGCGACGAUCCGUAGCUGGUCUGAGAGGACGGCCAGCCACACUGGGACUGAGACACGGCCCAGACUCCUACGGGAGGCAGCAGUGGGGAAUUUUGGACAAUGGGGGCAACCCUGAUCCAGCGACGCCGCGUGUGUGAAGAAGGCCUGCGGGUUGUAAAGCACUUUCGUUGGGAACGAAAUAUGCCGACCUAAUACGUCGGUAGGCUGACGUUACCCAAAUAAGAAGCACCGGCUAACUCUGUGCCAGCAGCCGCGGUAAUACAGAGGGUGCGAGCGUUAAUCGGAAUUACUGGGCGUAAAGCGCACGUAGGUGGCUAUGUAAGUCAGGUGUGAAAUCCCCGGGCUCAACCUGGGAACUGCACUUGGGACUGCAUGGCUAGAGUAUGGGAGAGGAAGGCGGAAUUCC
rnacentral:rRNA from 1 species